AAAAUUGUUGCAGUUAAAACGCUCGUAGUUAAAUUUCAAAGGACUAUAAAUAUUGUAAGAACGUGCUUGGUGAGAUUCAUCGUGACUUUGUCAUUGUACUCUGCCUCGUCGUACUUUUAACUAUAGAUUCCUUUGAGAGCCCAAUGAGUCAUCGCUGGGCUCUCGUUACUUUGAGUAAGUUAGAGUGUUUAAAGCAAAUAUAUAAUUAGUAUAAUUACUGUGUUUGAAUACUAUAGCAUGGAAUAACAACAUUGAAUAGGUCAAAAAUUUUUGAAAAAUUUUUCUUGUUUUGGCUUAGAUACAGUUAAUAGGAGUAGAUUGGAGGCAUUUGUAUUCAGAUGCUAGAGGUGAAAUUCUUAGAUUUUCUGGAGACAAACAACUGCGAAAGCAUUUGCCUAAAAUACUUCCAUUAAUCAAGAACGAAAGUUAA
rnacentral:rRNA from 1 species